UCCCUAGUGGUCUAUUGCUUAAGACUCUGCACUUCUAAUGCCGGGGGCACAGGUUCAAUCCCUGGUCAGGGAA
rnacentral:tRNA from 1 species